rnacentral:rRNA from 1 species
GACGGGUGAGUAAUGCCUAGGAAAUUGCCCUGAUGUGGGGGAUAACCAUUGGAAACGAUGGCUAAUACCGCAUGAUGCCUACGGGCCAAAGAGGGGGACCUUCGGGCCUCUCGCGUCAGGAUAUGCCUAGGUGGGAUUAGCUAGUUGGUGAGGUAAGGGCUCACCAAGGCGACGAUCCCUAGCUGGUCUGAGAGGAUGAUCAGCCACACUGGAACUGAGACACGGUCCAGACUCCUACGGGAGGCAGCAGUGGGGAAUAUUGCACAAUGGGCGCAAGCCUGAUGCAGCCAUGCCGCGUGUGUGAAGAAGGCCUUCGGGUUGUAAAGCACUUUCAGUCGUGAGGAAGGUUUAUGCGUUAAUAGCGUAUUUAUUUGACGUUAGCGACAGAAGAAGCACCGGCUAACUCCGUGCCAGCAGCCGCGGUAAUACGGAGGGUGCGAGCGUUAAUCGGAAUUACUGGGCGUAAAGCGCAUGCAGGUGGUUUGUUAAGUCAGAUGUGA